rnacentral:rRNA from 1 species
CACGUAGGAGGCGAGCGUUGUCCGGAAUCAUUGGGCGUAAAGAGCGCGCAGGCGGCUUGGCAAGUCGGGUGUGAAAUCCCGGGGCUCAACCCCGUGACUGCAUCCGAUACUGUCAGGCUAGAGGUAGGUAGGGGAGAUCGGAAUUCCUGGUGUAGCGGUGAAAUGCGCAGAUAUCAGGAGGAACACCGGUGGCGAAGGCGGUUCUCUGGGCAUUACCUGACGCUGAGGAGCGAAAGUGUGGGGAGGAGAACAGG